rnacentral:misc_RNA from 1 species
GAAAUGCGAUAAGUAAUGUGAAUUGCAGAAUUCAGUGAAUCAUCGAAUCUUUGAACGCACAUUGCGCCCGCCAGUAUUCUGGCGGGCAUGCCUGUCCGAGCGUCAUUUCAACCAUCAAGCCCCCGGGCUUGUGUUGGGGACCUGCGGCUGCCCGCAGGCCCUGAAAACCAGUGGCGGGCUCGCUGUCACACCGAGCGUAGUAGCAAUCACCUCGCUCAGGGCGUGCUGCGGGUUACGGCCGUUAAACAGCCUUACAAAACCCAAGGUUGACCUCGGAUCAGGUAGGAAGACCCGCUGAACUUAAGC